GAUGAACGCUGGCGGCGUGCUUAACACAUGCAAGUCGAACGAAGCACCUUGAUUUGAUUCUUCGGAUGAAGAUCUUGGUGACUGAGUGGCUGACGGGUGAGUAACGCGUGGGUAACCUGCCUCAUACAGGGGGAUAACAGUUAGAAAUGACUGCUAAUACCGCAUAAGACCACAGCACCGCAUGGUGCAGGGGUAAAAACUCCGGUGGUAUGAGAUGGACCCGCGUCUGAUUAGGUAGUUGGUGGGGUAACGGCCUACCAAGCCGACGAUCAGUAGCCGACCUGAGAGGGUGACCGGCCACAUUGGGACUGAGACACGGCCCAAACUCCUACGGGAGGCAGCAGUGGGGAAUAUUGCACAAUGGGGGAAACCCUGAUGCAGCGACGCCGCGUGAGCGAUGAAGUAUUUCGGUAUGUAAAGCUCUAUCAGCAGGGAAGAAAAUGACGGUACCUGACUAAGAAGCACCGGCUAAAUACGUG
rnacentral:rRNA from 1 species